rnacentral:rRNA from 1 species
AUUGAACGCUGGCGGCAUGCCUUACACAUGCAAGUCGAACGGUAACGGGCCUUCGGGUGCCGACGAGUGGCGAACGGGUGAGUAAUGCAUCGGAACGUACCUUUCAGUGGGGGAUAACGUAGCGAAAGUUACGCUAAUACCGCAUAUUCUGUGAGCAGGAAAGCAGGGGAUCGCAAGACCUUGCGCUGAUUGAGCGGCCGAUGUCAGAUUAGCUAGUUGGUGAGGUAAAGGCUCACCAAGGCGACGAUCUGUAGCGGGUCUGAGAGGAUGAUCCGCCACACUGGAACUGAGACACGGUCCAGACUCCUACGGGAGGCAGCAGUGGGGAAUUUUGGACAAUGGGGGCAACCCUGAUCCAGCCAUGCCGCGUGAGUGAAGAAGGCCUUCGGGUUGUAAAGCUCUUUCGGUCGGGAAGAAAUCGCAUGGGUUAAUACCCUGUGCGGAUGACGGUACCGGCAUAAGAAGCACCGGCUAACUACGUGCCAGCCGCCGCCGUAACAC